UACGUAGGUGGCGAGCGUUAUCCGGAAUUAUUGGGCGUAAAGAGCGCGCAGGUGGUUGAUUAAGUCUGAUGUGAAAUCUCACAGCUUAACUGUGAGCGGUCAUUGGAAACUGAGGAACUUGAGUAUAGAAGAGAAGAGUGGAAUUCCAAGUGUAGCGGUGAAAUGCGUAGAUAUCAAGAAGAACACCAGUGGCGAAGGCGGCUCUCUGGCCUAGAACUGACGCUGAAGCGCGAAAGCGUGGGUAGCGAACGGGAUUA
rnacentral:rRNA from 1 species